AUCUAUGGCCAUGCCACCCUGAACAAGCCCGAUCCCAUCUGAUCUCAGAAACUAAGCAGGAUGGGGCCUGGUUAGUAUUUGGAUGGGAGACCACCUAGGAAGACCAGGUGCUAUAGGCA
rnacentral:rRNA from 1 species